GAUCCUCCUCUCGCUGUCCGGGGCAUGGCGGAGUCAGGUGGGCUGAAGUCGCACGGGGGGCGGAGCGCGAGCAGGAGGCCUUCGGCCCCCCCAGUCCUCUGUAGGACAGCACCCCCUUGCUAGAGAUUAGCAGCUGUUUGCCGAAGGUCGCUCCAGCCCUGGCUCUUUGAAGCAGUUUAAACAGUUGGUGCAAGCACACCGGGAGCCCCGGCCCGUGCGCUGCUAUCGGAGCUGCCACUCCCUGAUUUGGACCUGCAGAACCUUGCCCGCUUUAUCUCGCUCCACCGGCUGACUGUGGCGCCAGUUUCGGGGUUAGGGCUCUGAGCUGGGACCCGGACUUUGCAAGAGGCCAACUGCCCUCUGGCCCCAGGUCCCAUUCAGUUGCUGGUGCUCAAACACCUCUGCCCCAGGGAGAUGGAUGAGUCCACGCUGCAAACUCGUGCUCGCUUACUCGAAGGCCCUCCACUUCUCCCACGUGCCCUGGGCUCGGGGCCCAAGCGGUCACUCAGUAUCACUUCAUCCACCCAGAGCCCAGCAAGCGGGCACAGCUCUAACAGAAUCACCGAAGUGGAUUCUAAGACUCUCAGGGUUCCUUUACACGUACUUACUCUAUUUGGGAAUUUUGAGGUAUGAUCUCAUAAGGCCCCACCUCUCAAGCUGUUUUUAGAGCAGCGUUUCUCAACCGUCGUAAUGCAGCGACCCUUUAAUAUAGUUCGUGUUGUGGUGACCUCCAACUAGAAAAGUAUUUUUGCUGCUACUUCAUAACUAAUUUUGUUGCUAUAAAUUGUAAUGUAAGU
rnacentral:lncRNA from 1 species